AUGUCGAUGAUGAGAUCAGUAAUUAAUAUUAACCAUCUUUCGGGACUGAAUGACUCUUUUGAGUCUUGCUGACUUACUGCUAUUCUGAGGCUC